UAUGUACUCCCUCCGUCUUAAAAUUUUUAGUUUGUUUAAGAAUAGAUGUAUCAAAAUACCAAAACGUGACUACAUACAUUCAUAUCUAGAUAAAUCAAGACAAGAAUUUUAGGACGGAGGGAGUAUAUU
rnacentral:pre_miRNA from 1 species